UACGUAGGGAGCAAGCGUUGUCCGGAAUCAUUGGGCGUAAAGCGCGCGUAGGUGGCUUCGUAAGUCCGUUGUGAAAGUCAAAGGCUCAACCUUUGAAAGCCGAUGGAUACUGCGGAGCUAGAGUACGGAAGAGGCGAGUGGAAUUCCUGGUGUAGCGGUGGAAUGCGCAGAUAUCAGGAGGAACACCAAUAGCGAAGGCAGCUCGCUGGGACGUUACUGACACUG
rnacentral:rRNA from 1 species